rnacentral:ncRNA from 2 species
CGUAGAUUGAUCGGUGACGGUUCUCCGCACGGAGAUCAAAAGGGAACGUGGUGCGAGAUUGUCCCAAUGCCGGGAUUGUCCCAACGCCACGGCUGCCCCCGCAACUGUAAGCGGUGAAUCUUUCGUCAUAUGCCACUGGGAAUCUCGGUCCUGGGAAGGCGACGUAAGGUAACGACCCGCGAGCCAGGAGACCUGCCGUCAGCCGUGGUCACAC